UUAAUUGAAACCAAAUAAGAGGUUUAUCACUGUUAAUGAUAUCAAUGAAAUUCUUUUCCAAUUAAA
rnacentral:tRNA from 1 species